UGCGGAAGGAUCAUUACUGAGCUUAUCAUUUCAUGAUGAUUACGACAUGGAACUUCGCUGUCUCGUUUCUAGGCGUUGAUUUCGGUCACUAACGGCUUUGAAUGGUUUCUGUAGAUGUCUGGAGCAGCUGUAUGAGCGUGGCUGUGGUGAUGGACAUACACGUUGCUUCGGCGACGGAGAAUUAAAGAGGUCAGUCGGAGACCCGCCGUUCUUAUAACUCUACUUUUAACAUUUUUCCCAUGAAUAUGUGCCAUGCGUAUGGUGCAAAAAGACUAUUAUCAAGUCUUAUCGGUGGAUCACUCGGUUCGUAGUUCGAUGAAAAACGGGGCAAAAACCGUUAUUUGGCGUGAAUUGCAGACAUAUUGAACGCUAAAAUUUUGAACGCAAAUGGCACUAUCGGGUUUAUAUCUGAUAGUAUGUUUGGUUGAGGGUCGAUUAACUCGUGACUUGCAGUCUGCUUUGACUGUUUAUUCGAUUAGCUACUUUUGCAAAAGAGUACCUUUUCGGUAUGAACGCCUGUUUCUGGCGAUAGUUGAAUGGAGGCGUCAAGCCUCUACUAUCAUAUCGUUAGUGUGCGUUUUGUGGCUAAGGCGUGUCUCUUGCCUAAGCCGACUUGUACGUGCUUCGUACAUACUGUUUCUAGAAGUCGGUGGUCACACUUUGUCGAGUCGAAAGAUGAGACGAACGCGCAAAAUUCGAUGUUUUCGAAUUGCGACCUCAACUCAAGCAAGGCUACCCG
rnacentral:rRNA from 1 species